UGCAGUCAGCAUUUACAGUGAAGGAAUGCCCAGAGGAAGACCCUCACACAUGCUGCUCAUUGUCCCUGUGUUUUGUGUUCACAACUAAUGCCAUGCUCUCAGAGACAAGAAAAAGGGAAUAAAUUCACGGUUCACACAAUAUCCCUCCAAGACACUUAGAAAAAGUAAGACAGAUUUCAGAGUUAACCCAGACUGCAGAUUCCAACAUCCUGUGAUCACACCCGAGUCGAGACCCCCACCCCCUCCUCUGAUGCACCUGUGUUCUUCACUGAAAUACAGGGAGUAC
rnacentral:lncRNA from 1 species